CCACGCUGAGAGAGGGAGAAAGAGAAGAGCAUCAGAGAGGGAUGACCGUGGCAGGAAGGAUGGUGUGUUAGGUGACUGGUUCAGACAGUGACAGUGGACAGAAGAAAUGCUGGAGAAAGAUUAGACCACAGGUGGUUCAUGUUGUACUAGUUCAAGGUUUGGCAGAAAACAUUUUUUUCUAGAUAGACAGUGGCAGCAAACACACAAGGGAGGAUGGUGUGGUGGACAAGAGGAUGCAGGGAGACGGCAGACAGAAUGGAAGCUACAGAUGAAAGAAGAGCAGGUCAAGCCAUGGCAGCAGACAGACAGACAGAGACAGAUUGGAUCAGAAAGUAUUAUUAUUUAGUGAGCACCAGAAGCAGUCUUCCUCACACGAACCGUUUCAUUGCCGGGACUUGAAGGCUGCUGAAGCAAUGCGGCGGAGGUCACGCCCCUUAAAGUAUUUAUACUUACUGUCAACACCAUAACUAAAGCAAACACUUUAGUGCAGACAGGCCCACUGGAAGCUGUCAGUCUGCUGCGGCACGUGGCAAGAACCAAGUGUUGAGGAGCACACGUUGUCCUUUCACCAGUCAGCAGGUCUGGGCGGCUCGGAAGUCUCACUACAAACUGGAGAUCCAUUCUCUUGGACACAGUUGGAGUCGGACACAAGAUUCAAGAGGGAGUCAUUUUAACGAGAGCUUCAGGCAGAAAAUUCGAGUGGAUUUUCAUUUCUAAAAAUAUCUUAUUUUUUGGGGGGGAUAUUUUGAAUCCUUCUUUGUGGAAAAAUAACUCCAGAUAUUAUGAUUCUAGCUGGAAGUUGACCUGAGCAAUGUAGGGUUUGCUGCUGUGAGAUUAUCACCAAGGCACAAGUGUCCGGGAUUUAAAGAUGAUGGAAAUGUGUCCUGUGUGCUGCUGUGCUGGGAAGAGGAGAGGAGCAGCAGCAGUGGUGGGGCUCUGCUGCUGCUGUCACUAGUGCAGCUGCCUUCCCUCAACAUACUGUGUCUUCUCUCACCUGCAAUGAACAACUAUGAACAAUACUUUUGCGAUGAAGAACAGUGAAUAACACCUCUCCCCAUAUGGUUGCAAGUCUCUCUCUCUCUCUCUCUCUCUCUCUCUCUCUCUCUCUCUCUCUCUCUCUCUCUCUCUCUCUCCACA